GUGACGCGUUUCGAUUUUUGGUGGAAAUCUCAUCGGAAACUUUUAGGUGUGAAGACUUCAAGAAUCGUACGUUAAGUUGGCUGAACCUGCCUGCAUUUACUGCUGAUCCUCAAUUUCCCAACAUGGAUACGGACAUCGAUAGCAGAAAUAAUGGUCGCAACAAGGAAGGAUAUGCUAAUGACAGAGCUAUCAGAGAGGAGCUUUGCACUUUGUUGCGGAUUUCAUUCAAACGUUAAUCUACUGUUAAUAAGGAGAAAGAGAAUUAAUUACAUCCACAAAAAAGGAAGAUAAAAUUAGAAGCGAGGAGAUCAGCGUUAUACACAAGAAUUAGGGGCGUUUGCUUGGCCAGCAACAAAUGUCAUUUUAAAAAGAUCUUCAAAAUUAAUUUAUUAUGUAUAUUGUAACAAUUUUAUUACUUUCAGCCAUUUUGGUUUGUAUGAUUAGUAUAACCCAUAUAGAGUAAAUAAACAGUGUUAAAUUUCUUGUGAACUA